UGGGUUGAUCCUGGCUCAGAUUGAACGCUGGCGGCAUGCCUUACACAUGCAAGUCGAACGGCAGCACGGGGGCAACCCUGGUGGCGAGUGGCGAACGGGUGAGUAAUACAUCGGAACGUGUCCUGUAGUGGGGGAUAGCCCGGCGAAAGCCGGAUUAAUACCGCAUACGAUCUACGGAAGAAAGCGGGGGAUCGCAAGACCUCGCGCUAUAGGGGCGGCCGAUGGCAGAUUAGCUAGUUGGUGGGGUAAAGGCCUACCAAGGCGACGAUCUGUAGCUGGUCUGAGAGGACGACCAGCCACACUGGGACUGAGACACGGCCCAGACUCCUACGGGAGGCAGCAGUGGGCAAUUUUGGACAAUGGGGGAAACCCUGAUCCAGCAAUGCCGCGUGUGUGAAGAAGGCCUUCGGGUUGUAAAGCACUUUUGUCCGGAAAGAAAACUUCUGCCCUAAUACGGCGGGAGGAUGACGGUACCGGAAGAAUAAGCACCGGCUA
rnacentral:rRNA from 1 species